UACGAGGGGGGCAAAUGUUGUUCGGAAUCACUGGGCGUAAAGGGCUCGUAGGCGGCCAACUAAGUCAGACGUGAAAUCCCUCGGCUUAACCGGGGAACUGCGUCUGAUACUGGAUGGCUUGAGAUUGGGAGAGGGAUGCGGAAUUCCAGGUGUAGCGGUGAAAUGCGUAGAUAUCUGGAGGAACACCGGUGGCGAAGGCGGCAUCCUGGACCGACACUGACGCUGAGGAGCGAAAGCCAGGGGAGCAAACGGG
rnacentral:rRNA from 1 species